AGGGUUUGAUCCUGGCUCAGAGUGAACGCUGGCGGCGUGGAUUAGGCAUGCAAGUCGAGCGAUUCUAAGAAGUGAACUAUUUGAAAUUUCGGAAGUUCCGCUUCGGUGGAAUGGAAGAAAUGGAAAGUAACUAGCUUCCUAGAAUAGCGGCAUAAGGGUGAGUAACGCGUGGGUAAUUUACCUUGAGAUGAGGAAUAGCUUCGAGAAAUCGGAGGUAAUACCUCGUAUACCUGUACUUUGUUGUACAGGGCAAAGGUGGCUGAGGACUACUUCGGUAGAAAUGCUGCCGUCUUGAGAGGAGCCCGCGUCUUAUCAGUUUGUUGGUAGGGUAAUGGCCUACCAAGACUAUGACGGGUAGCUGGCAUUAGUGUGUGGUCAGCCACACCGGGACUGAGACACUGCCCGGACUCCUACGGGAGGCUGCAGUCGAGAAUCUUUCCCAAUGCUCGAAAGAGUGAGGAUGCGACGCCGCGUGGGGGAUGAAGGUCUUCGGAUUGUAAACCCCUUUUGUUGAGGAAGAAAUCCUAAUUGGUAAUAUCUUUUAGGUCUGACGUUACUUGACGAAUAAGCCACGGCUAACUCCGUGCCAGCAGCCGCGGUAAUACGGAGGUGGCUAGCGUUACUCGGAAUUACUGGGUGUAAAGGGUCCGCAGGCGACUUAGUAAGUAAGAGGUGAAAGCUCCCGGCUCAACUGGGAAACUGCCUUUUAUACUGCUGAGUUAGAGGACAAGAGAGGAAAGCGGAACUGCCGGUCUAAGGGUGAAAUCUGUGGAUAUCGGCAGGAACGCCAGUGACGAAGGUGGCUUUCUGGCUUGUAUCUGACGCUCAGGGACGAAAGCUAGGGGAGCGAACAGGAUUAGAUACCCUGGUAGUCCUAGCCGUAAACGAUGGGCACUAGGUGUUUCGAUUUUUUGUUGGAGCGCCGGAGCUAACGCGUUAAGUGCCCCACCUGGGGACUACGGCCGCAAGGCUAAAACUCAAAGGAAUUGACGGGGGCCCGCACAAGCGGUGGAACACGUGGUUUAAUUCGAUGCUACGCGAGAAACCUCACCAGGGUUUGACAUGCUAGAAGUACUUCGAUGGAAACAUUGAAAGACCGUAUCCAAUCGGCGUCCAGCACAGGUGCUGCAUGGUUGUCGUCAGCUCGUGCCGUGAGGUGUCGCCUUAAGUGGUUCAACGAGCGCAACCCUCGCCUUUAGUUGCUAACCUUAACUAUACGUUAUGGUGCACUCUAGAGGGACUGCCCACGUUAAGUGGGAGGAAGGUGGGGAUGACGUCAAAUCAGCAUGGCCCUUAUGUCCUGGGCUACACACGUGUUACAAUGGCGCGUACAGAGGGAAGCCAAACCGUAAGGUGGAGCCAAUCCUACAAAGCGCGCCUUAGUUCGGAUUGAGGGCUGAAAUUCGCCCUCAUGAAGCUGGAAUCGCUAGUAAUGGCAUAUCAGCAACGAUGCCAUGAAUACGUUCCCGGGCCUUGUACACACCGCCCGUCAAGCGCCGAAAGUGGGGGGCACUCGAAGCCCCGAUUUAUCGGGUUCACAGUGAAUUCCAUGAUUGGUGCUAAGUC
rnacentral:rRNA from 1 species